GCCAGGCGUGGUGGUGCACGCCUGUAGUCCCAGCUACUCGGGAGGCUGAGGCAGGAGAAUCGCUUGAACCCGGGAAGCAGAGGUUGCAGUGAGCGGAGAUUAGGCCACUGCACUCCAGCCUGGGUGACAAAGGGAGACCCUGUCUCAA
rnacentral:SRP_RNA from 1 species